rnacentral:lncRNA from 1 species
UGUGCUUCAUAUUAGAGGUGGUUUGGGAGGUGCACAAAACUAAAUUUGCAAGCUGUGUUUGACAGUGUUAGAGUGCUAUCUAUUUGCUCUGUUAACUGGUCAAAUUCUGUUUUACUGAUGUUGUUACAAAGUCAGAGAACUUCCUUAACUUCCGUGUGGCAGAGAAUUGCAUUUUAUCUCCCUGUGUAUACGGAGCCAACGUGACAUGCAGAGUAAUUUUGACCUCUCAGUGUUGAGGCUAGGCCAGACCUCACUCUUGGCAAAGACUGAGUAGUUGGGCUUUGUCUAGGGGGGCUCUAGUACCAUCAAAUAAGCAAUCAGAAAAUCUCCUAAGGAUCCGUAAGCCAUGUUUUUCUUCUGAAUUUGGUAGUAAGAAUGGCUGCAGAGUUUCCAAAGAAAGUUAAUAAUUACAUGUUUUCUAAUCCACGAUAGUGUCUUCUCAUGAUCAAUGGUUUAUUUUCUCAAAAUCUAAAGUAGUGUAAGCUGUGGUGCUUAAUAAAAUUCAGAGGUUAAUAUAAUGGAUAAAAUGUGUUUAAUAAAAGGAUAGUGGAAGCGGAUCUGGAAUAAAUUGGUUUGAGAACAUGUUCAAUUUACAGGAAGUGAUGCAGUUCCUGGAUUUUCUGUGUUAGGAUAUGAACUGCAUUUUCAGUGAGCUGUAAAGGGUCAGUGAAGAAAACUCAGCACAGGGCUAUGUUGACACUGGAAGUGCUGCCAAGAAGAGUUUCCUCUGAAGAAAUACAUAAGAAGCUUGUUGCGAAGGUGAUCUUCCCUGGUCAUCAUAGAAUGGCCUGGGUUGGAAUAGACCCCAAGGAUCAUCAGGCUCCAACCCCUGUGCUACAGGCAGGGCCACCCACCUCCAGAUCUGGUACUAGACCACAUUGCCCAGGGCCCCAUCCAGCCUGGCCUUGAACACCUCCAGGUACGGAGCACCCACAGCCUCACUGGGCAGCCUGUUCCAGCACCUCACCACACCCUGUGAAGAACUUCUCCCUGACAUCUAAUCUAAAUCUUCCCUCCUUGAGCUUAAAACCAUUCCCUCUUGUCCUAUCUCUGUCUACCUGAGUAAAAAAUUGAUUCCCCUCCUGUUUAAAUACUGGAAGGCUGCAGUGAGAUCUCCAUGCAGCCAUCUCUUCUCCAGACUAAACAACUAUUCCAUUUGUAAGUAGGGAACAGGAUGCAGAGCCGUCUGCUUCUUAACCUGAUGGACCACAUCCACACCAAGAGGCUUUGCUGUGCAGAGCCUGCCCGGUCCCUUCAGCCUUCAGUGCUUUCUCUCAAAGCUUGAUGGAGCUGGUGGUGAAGCUUUGGCUUGCUUUCUGUUUGGAUGCUCUGGGUAAAGGUGACAACCUGUUGUUUUACUUGCUCCACUUGGUUUUACCCAUACCUCCUUCUCUUUAUAUGCGGAGAUUCUCACAGGACAAGAGCUCCUCUGUGACGGAGCACGUCUCAUGCCCUGGGGCCUAGCGUGACUAGCAGAUGCAGAUUGUAUGGAAGCAAUUAAAUCUGAAGGAAAUGUAACGUGGGCUGAAUUUCAACACACAGACUUAUGGCAUUUCCCCCCUUGUAUUCAGAAGGAGGGAGGGAGAGAAGUGGGUGCAGUAUGGGGGUGGGAGUGGAUCGUGUUGCAUUUGUCAGUCAGAAUCCAGGCAUGGUGUUAAUGCUUGUGCUUGUGCCUGUGACUGCUGCA